GACGAACGCUGGCGGCGUGCUUAACACAUGCAAGUCGAGCGAUGAAUUUUCUUCGGAAAUGGAUUAGCGGCGAACGGGUGAGGAACACGUGAAGAAUCUGCCCUCCACUUUGGGAUAACACAGGGAAACCUGUGCUAAUACCGAAUAUUGAAACAUAAGUGGCAUCACUGAGUUUUGAAAGAAUUUCGGUGGAGGAUGACUUCGCGGCCUAUCAGCUAGUUGGUGAGGUAAUGGCUCACCAAGGCAACGACGGGUAGCCGGCCUGAGAGGGUGACCGGCCACCCUGGGACUGAGACACGGCCCAGACUCCUACGGGAGGCAGCAGUGGGGAAUAUUGGGCAAUGGAGGAAACUCUGACCCAGCGACGCCGCGUGCGGGAUGAAGGCCUUCGGGUUGUAAACCGCUUUCAGUAGGGAAGAAGCGAAAGUGACGGUACCUACAAAAGAAGCACCGGCUAACUAUGUGCCAGCCGCCGCCGUAA
rnacentral:rRNA from 1 species